rnacentral:misc_RNA from 1 species
UACCCCAAAAUAUACAUUCCCUUUUGUAAUCUCAUCAAAAUCACACACUUCAAAUCUGAUUAUCCCACUUUCAACAUCCCAAUCUUCUUCAUCUUCUUCCUCAACAUCUCCAUCAUCAGUCUUCCAAACCCCACUUCAAACAGGUAGAUUUCUCACAAAUCAAGAACUUGAAAAGCUUGAAUCUUUAGGGAAAUAUAGGUAUUUUCAAGAAUUGGAAUCUGGAUCAUUGUGGGUUCGUGUGAUGAGGGAAGAAGAAAUGGAUGUUACUGUUUGGUUGUUGGCUGAGUCUUUUUCUGAUUCUAUGUUGAUGCCUAAAGGGUAUGUGAAAUUCAUGGCAUAUUUAGUGAAGCAGUAUAUGAUUGAGAGAAGAGCACUAAUGCCUUAUACUGCUACACUUCUUGGAUUCUAUAGAGAAAAUGGAGAAGAUGCAGAUUUGCAAUUGGCUGGAACUGUGGAAGUGUGUUUUGACAAAAGGGGUGCUAAUGCUAAUUCUCCCACACCUACACCUCCCAAGAACUCUCCAUACAUUUGCAAUAUGACAGUAG